rnacentral:rRNA from 1 species
GACGAACGCUGGCGGCGUGCUUAACACAUGCAAGUCGAACGGAAAGGCCCGGCUCUUGUGGGGUGCUCGAUUGGCGAACGGGGGAGUAACACGUGAGUAACCUGCCCUUGACUUUGUGGUAACUUCAGGAAACUGGGGCUAAUACAGGAUAGGAGCUCCUGCUGCAUGGGGGGGGUUGGUAAGAUUCGGCGGUGGGGGAUGGACUCGCGGCUUUUCAGCUUGUUGGUGGGGUAGGGGCUUCCCACGGCUUUGACGGGUAGCCGGCAUGAGAGGGUUGCCGGCCACCUUGGGACUGCGAUAGGGCCCAGACUCGUACGGGCGGCAGCAGUGGGGAAUCUUGCACAAUGGGCGGAAGCCUGAUGCGGAAACGCCGCGUGCGGGAUGACGGCCUUCGGGUUGUAAACCGCUUUCGCCUGUGCCGAAGCGUGAGUGACGGUAAUGGGUAAAGAAGCACCGGCUAACUACGUG